GAGAGAGCCAGAGCAGGCCAUUGGCAAUCAGGGAUGGCAGUCCUAGCGCCCAGUCCUGCUCCGCCGGGGGCGGGAGCCGCAGCCGCAGGAAAAAAAGGAUCCGCUGCUCCCGGUGCUUGCCGGGCUUUGGCCGAAGGCAGCGGGUUCCAGGCUGGGUUUGAGCGCAGGCCCCGGGAGCUGAGCACAGCCCGGCCCGGGGGUCCCGCAGUGCGUGGCCGAGGAGGGUCCCGGGGGAUGCCAGGAGGGGAUCCCGGGGAAUUCCCUGGAAUUCCGCCCUGCCCUCCCCCCGCGCUCCCUCGGGCACUUUCGCUGCCGCCUGCCCCGCCCUGCGCCGCCGGGAUCUGCCCAGAGACCGGGGACGUCACUAAACACCCGCGCUGCCAUUGGCGGGCAGCAAAGAGCGGCGCCAAUGGCGGGGCCGGAGGCGGCUCUGGGGGCGGGGCCGGCGCUGUGGGCGGGGCCGCAGCGGAGCAGCGCGAUGGCUCCAGCGCUGGGGCCGGGGGCGCUCCCGGGGCCCCGGGGGGCGGCGAGAGGAUUUCUUAUUCCCAAACCUUGCCAGAUGGAGAAGGAGGCUGUGAGGAAGAGGAAGAUGUCCCGAGACACCCAUGCAGUUGAGGAGGAAGUCACUGCCCCUUUCCCCUCUCUCCUGCUCCAUCUCUCAGCCCAGCAUGGCCCCAGCUGCAGGACAACCCCGCUGCCGACGCCGUCCUGCCGGGGAUGGACUGGGGGGAUCUCCUUCCCCUUCCCUCUGGCACGGAGGCAAAUCCCAUCCUCUCCUUGUCCUUCCUCCCCCAGACAAGGAGCUGAAGAAAGAGACCAGGGAGGACAAAUCCCCACGGCAGAACCUUGUGGAAGAGGCCCUUUUGAGUGACUCCACGGCACAGGAAUCCAAUGGGGAGGAAAAGCCCUGGAGAUCCCUCAGGAGAAGGGGCUGCAGACCCAUCCCAGGGUGCUCUGAGGAGGAAAGACCCACGCUGUGCCAGGAAGGUGGAUGGAGAUCAAGCCAAAGCUUGGAGCUGGUGCUCCAUGAGCAGCUUCAUUACAGGAGAAGCCCUGCAAGUCCUUGCAGUGUGGGAAGAGCUUCAGCACAAAGUCCAACCUCACCCACCACCAGAGGGUCCACACCAGGGAACGGCCCCAGGAGCGUGGGGAACGUGGCAGGGACUGCAGAGACAGCUCCAACCUGAUCAAACACCACAUGAACUACAAUGGGGAGAGGCCCCACGAGUGUCCCCAGUGUGGGAAGAGGUUUCACACCAGCUCCCAUCUCCUCAUGCACCAGUGGAUUCACACGGAUGAGAGGCCCUUCUGCUGCAGGAAGGGCUUCAAGCAAAACUCCAUCCUCGUCGCCCACCAGCACAUCCACACCGGGGAGAGGCCCCACGAGUGUCCCCAGUGUGGGAAGAGCUUCACCCACAGCUCUACCUUGACCAAACACCAACGGAUCCACCUGCAAGGGAAGCCCUGAGAGUGCCCUGACGGUGGGAAGAGCUUCGUGUGCUGCUCCAACUCCACCCCCAUCAGAGGACUCCUGUUGGGAAGAGCCCUGGUCGAGUGGUCCAUGCUGAGAAAACACCUGGCUGCUGGUCUUCACAUCCUGCUGGGUCUCCACAGGCACCUGGAUGAACACAGGGGCAGGAACAUCCAUCAGGACUUGCAUCAAAAUUGGGAAUUCCUUGGAAAGAAGUGAUUUGUUGACUUUACACCCCAAACAAUCUCAUCUACUCUGUCCAAUUGGUUCCUCUGAUGGCAUCAAGCAGUGUUGCAUGAUCUUGGAGGUCUUUUCUGUCUAAAUAAUUUCCAUCUUCAUCCUAUGAAAACAACCCAAAAUGUGGUAAAAAUACAGAAAUGAAACAAAGA